rnacentral:rRNA from 1 species
UACGUAGGGUGCAAGCGUUACUCGGAAUCACUGGGCGUAAAGGGUGCGUAGGCGGCUUGUUAAGUUGGAUGUGAAAGCCCUCGGCUCAACUGAGGAACUGCGUCCAAAACUGGCAAGCUCGAGGAUGGUAGGGGACAGUGGAACUCCAGGUGGAGCGGUGAAAUGCGUAGAGAUCUGGAGGAACGCCGGUGGCGAAAGCGAUUGUCUGGGCCAUUCCUGACGCUGAGGCACGAAAGCCAGGGGAGCAAACGGG